UCGGACGUGGUGCACGGUGCACGCCCGCUGACGGUAGCCGGUCACAAUAAAUUUGAAGUGUGAGGACUGGGUUCGAUUCCCAGCGUCCGAA